rnacentral:lncRNA from 1 species
CUCAGCCUUGAGCCUGGAGGUGGGAAAGAAGUUGUCAGAGAGCAGGCUCUUUCCUGCAGUGCAGGAAGGAUGAUCACUUGGUAGGGUUGUUUUUGUGUCCCUGUGGUUUGUGUUCAUCUAACCUAUCUGUUCCCAGGAAUAGAAGAAUAAGCUCAAAAUCUCCAUAGUCUACAUCCAGACCAGGGAGGGUAUCUCUACCCAAGCUGGAUGCUCAGCAUAGCUCUCUACCCUGGAUGUUCAGCACAGCUUUGCUGUGAUGACUCAGAGGCGAGACAGAAACUGAAGUGUUUAUCUGCAAAAUACUUCUUGGUGAUGAUUAAAGCCAUUGUGAUGAAAAGAAAGUACAUUUAUGCACUUGUAAAUCCAGGCGCUGGCUGGGACCAGUAAGUACAGCUGACUAAAGAAUGUGCCAGAUUUAAUUUCAUCCUUUUAUUCUUUGUUAUAUGACAUUCACUAAUCCACUUAACCCACCUGUACACCACAUUCUUUACCAAUUUCCUUUGAUAUUCUGACUUUUAUGAAGAAAAAGAUGGUGUAAAGAAUAACAAUGAUCAAAGAUGGAAUGUGAUUUGAAAUUAAAAUAAAACACAAAGGAAUCUUAAAUAUCGUCCUCUCUUCUUUCAUGUACUUAUCUUUAACUACAUACCCCAUCUUUGUUUCUGGCUUCUGAGAUCAUUAUUCUUAUUCUUCCAUUAAUAAAAGCAAUAACUUAUUAUAGUAGUACUCAGCCUAAGGAACACAGGAAAAAGUAC